AGUGAACGCUGGCGGUAGGCCUAACACAUGCAAGUCGAACGGCAGCACAGUAAGAGCUUGCUCUUACGGGUGGCGAGUGGCGGACGGGUGAGGAAUACAUCGGAAUCUACUUUUUCGUGGGGGAUAACGUAGGGAAACUUACGCUAAUACCGCAUACGACCUACGGGUGAAAGCAGGGGAUCUUCGGACCUUGCGCGAUUGAAUGAGCCGAUGUCGGAUUAGCUAGUUGGCGGGGUAAAGGCCCACCAAGGCGACGAUCCGUAGCUGGUCUGAGAGGAUGAUCAGCCACACUGGAACUGAGACACGGUCCAGACUCCUACGGGAGGCAGCAGUGGGGAAUAUUGGACGAUGGGCGCAAGCCUGAUCCAGCCAUACCGCGUGGAUGAAGAAGGCCUUCGGGUUGUAAAGCCCUUUUGUUGGGAAAGAAAAGCAGCAGGUUAAUACCCCGCUGUUCCGACGGUACCCAAAGAAUAAGCACCGGCUAACUUCGUG
rnacentral:rRNA from 1 species